GAGUGGAUCAAUGGUUCGAAGUCGACUUUCGAAGCAAGAGGUCGGCGUUUCGAAUCCCGCCAUGUCC
rnacentral:tRNA from 14 species